rnacentral:rRNA from 1 species
AACGAACGCUGGCGGCAUGCCUAACACAUGCUAGUCGAACGAGACCUUCGGGUCUAGUGGCGCACGGGUGCGUAACGCGUGGGAACCUGCCCUUAGGUUCGGAAUAACUCCCCGAAAGGGGUGCUAAUACCGGAUAAUGUCUUCGGACCAAAGAUUUAUCGCCUUUGGAUGGGCCCGCGUUGGAUUAGCUAGUUGGUAGGGUAAAAGCCUACCAAGGCGACGAUCCAUAGCUGGUCUGAGAGGAUGAUCAGCCACACUGGGACUGAGACACGGCCCAGACUCCUACGGGAGGAAGAAGUGGGGAAUAUUGGACAAUGGGCGAAAGCCUGAUCCAGCAAUGCCGCGUGAGUGAUGAAGGCCUUAGGGUUGUAAAGCUCUUUUACCCGGGAUGAUAAUGACAGUACCGGGAGAAUAAGCUCCGGCUAACUCCGUG